UACGGAGGGUGCAAGCGUUGCUCGGAAUUAUUGGGCGUAAAGGGUAGGUAGGUGGUCUCAUUUGUCUGAGGUGAAAGCCUUAAGCUUAACUCAAGAAGUGCCUCGGAAACGGUGAGACUGGAGUCCUGGAGAGGGUCGUGGAAUUCCCGGUGUAGCGGUGAAAUGCGUAGAGAUCGGGAGGAACACCAGAGGCGAAGGCGGCGACCUGGACAGGCACUGACACUCAACUACGAAAGCGUGGGGAGCAAACAGG
rnacentral:rRNA from 1 species